UCUUAUUUGACGUGUAAAAUUAAAUACCUGAGUAGUAAUAGUUAUGAUCUUGAAACUCAAAGAAUUUGGCGGUGUUUUAGUCCUUUCARAGGAAUCUKUCCUSUAAUUGAUAGUACACSAUUUUAUUUACUUAAUUWGGUUGAUCAGUYUAUAUACCGCCGUCGUAAGAUUAUCUUGUGGAGAGUGUAAAAUUUCUUUAUUUGUUAUUAUAGAAUAUGUCAGGKCRAGGUGUARCUAAUGGUUAAGUAGAGAUGGAUUACAAUAAAUGUAUUUAUUAUGGAUAGUUGAUUUUAAUUAAAUUAGRAGGNGGAUUUGAUUGUAAAUUARWUGAAAUUGAUUUUUUGAWUAUGGCUCUAAAASGUGCACACAUCGCCCGUCGCUCUYKUUUUAAGAUGAA
rnacentral:rRNA from 1 species